CAGAAGCAGAAGCACUUCUCUUAGCCGCGAUGAUCUUCUUCUUAUCAUCUUUGUAAUCAAGCAAGGCAUCAUCAGAGAGGAUUUCCCACUCAUGGAUAUCCAUUUUCUUUCUCUGGAGGUCCUUUGGCCAGAGGAACCCACCAAGAACUCAAAUGAAAUACCCUCUGGAUUGUUUGUAGCCUUCUUCUCAAGAAUAUGCUUUGUUUGGGGGAAAAUCUUAGAGAGAGAAAGAGAAGGGGAGGAGGGUAUUAUGAACAUUUGAUUGUGGUAGGUGAAUUUUUAUAGGGAUUCUAAGAAGUAAACAGCCCCCACUGGAAUAAAUGGAACCACAAGGAUUGAAAAAGAGGGUCGGUUGCUUGCUGGGAUUGUCUAGAAACGAUCAAGAAAGGAUAAGUUUUUAAUUCUUUUUUC